CGAAAGCACCACAUCUAAACAGCUCUGUGGGUCCCUAAUCCUGCCACCUGGCAGAUAAUCCUAUUAUCUGCUGCCUAUCUGCUGUGCACGGGAUCAGACCCGAGUGCACUGGAUGGUCUCCUAGGAGAGUGGACAAGUAGCCUUGAACCACACCAAAAGAGCACCGAACUGCUUUCCCCCUAACCCAGGGAGCACUGUCACCUUUAGGGGGUGGUAUGGAAGGGCAAUAGCUCCAUCACCCUGUUGGUUUUUUUGUUUGUUUGUUGGUUUGGUUUUUGUUUGUUGGUUUGUUUUGUUUGUUUAAAAAUGAAAGCAUUUGGUCAGUGAAGAAUCUCUUCAUGAGUAUGCAAAGGUGCCAUACUGAUGCUCAGAGAGAUGCUUGCAUGGUAUGAAUCAAGUACCAUCCCUAUGUGCAGUUUUUUAUGAGCAAAGAACAGCCAAUAAAACUGGUCACAGGUAAUUAUCUAGAUUCCCUCCCUCACACCAAAUAUCACCAGGAGGCACCUCACUCUCUCUUGCAAUAGCUAGGAGACCAACGCGCAUGUCCAGGCUGCUGGACGCCACUGCAGAUACCAAGCGUAUAAACACUAGACAACAUCAAAUUUAAUAUCUGCAACUUUUACAGCCCUGACACCCACAUGCUGAUCUGCAUAAGGGUGAGGGGGUGAUUAGAAACAAAACAGAAAAACAAUCUUUAAAAUCUACUUAAUUGCCUGUAUCUACCCUCCAUUCAGCCCGGAGAAUUGUUCCUGGUAUCAGCUGAUGUGGGAGGUGAACCGUGAAAAAAACAGGUUUCACUCAAAAUAAUUCCAUUAGGGCCUGAAAUGGCUGGGUGAAACAUGAGUAAGGGAAAUCAUCACAGAAACACAACAGCUGGGCUCCAUGACGUCACUCGCAGGAAUCAAAGGAAAUGAGCUUAUGAGUUAUGCAUAAAAGGGGUUUGUUUGUUUGUCUGUCUACUUACAAGGUUACAGUUUGUUUUCUGAAUGACAACAACAAAAACAAGCUUUGAAAAAUUUAGUCCUGAUAUUUUGCUCUUUAAGCCACAGCCUAGAAGACAAAUUGGAAAUCAAGGAAGCAUUGCAGACAGACAGACCAGCUUCUAUUUCCUUCAACAGUAUGGGUUGAGGUCAACAGAAACCAGCUCUAUAGUUGCUGGUUUCAAGGAAGAAGAGCUAUGAAGUCAGAGAGCUGGGAUGGGAUUCUCCCCACCAGAGCCACCACCCAUGCUCCUUUCACCAUAAAAAAAAAGAGUAACAUCUCCUGAAGCAACUUGUGCUAGCAUAACAUGCAUCUCAGGCACGAUCCCCUUCAGGUGGGGUGAGUUCCCUCUGGAUUAUGCAUGGUCUAGGUAACUACUUUGACUAAAAGUACAAGAAUUUACCUCUACCUGCAGUGUCUCUGC
rnacentral:lncRNA from 1 species